rnacentral:tRNA from 1 species
AAAGAAUAGCUAUGAUGAAAAGUAUUGCUUUUACAAUGCAGUGAUGUCUGUUAAACUCAGACUUCUUUUAUA